CAGCAGCCACGGUAAUACGUAGGUGGCAAGCGUUGUCCGGAAUUAUUGGGCGUAAAGGGCUCGCAGGCGGUUUCUUAAGUCUGAUGUGAAAGCCCCCGGCUCAACCGGGGAGGGUCAUUGGAAACUGGGAAACUUGAGUGCAGAAGAGGAGAGUGGAAUUCCACGUGUAGCUGUGAAAUGCGUAGAGAUGUGGAGGAACACCAGUGGCGAAGGCGACUCUCUGGUCUGUAACUGACGCUGAGGAGCGAAAGCGUGGGGAGCGAACAGGAUUAGAUACCCCAGUAGUCCCUGUCUCUUAUAC
rnacentral:rRNA from 1 species